rnacentral:rRNA from 1 species
GGCAGUAGCGCGGUGGUCCCACCUGACCCCAUGCCGAACUCAGAAGUGAAACGCCGUAGCGCCGAUGGUAGUGUGGGGUCUCCCCAUGCGAGAGUAGGGAACU